UUCCAUUGAAAGUCCAGCUUCUGAAACUUCAUAGAAGUAGGGCUCUCCCAUUUAGAAGAAGGGGAAAGGGUCCCCGGGAGCCCCGUGCCUGCACGCCGCCCUUGCCUCUCCAUCCCACGGGUCUUCUAGGUAACCGAUGGAGAAUUAGAAGAUUGAAGAUCAGGAAAAAAGUCUUUCUUGUAGAUGUUGUCCCCCAACCUAUAUUUCACAGGGUGGACUGGUUUCAUCACAGGCCCCCUGGAAAGGCUGACAACUUAAUAAUUUAUGAGACUCUCCUUCCCUGAUCUGCGACCCUGUGGGCAUCUGCAGUCUUAAAAGCCAACGGUCUCCUUUGUAGCACCGCUGAGAGAAGGCUGGAAAGAAUGAACGAUGUGUUCUUCGUGCAGCUGGUAGAGAAGAAAUGCCAAAAGUUCCCCAGAGUCCGUUGGAAAAUGAGCUUAAUGUGCCAAAAUUGUCACUGGGGUACAGAACUGCCAUGGAGCCUCUCCGCAGACGGGCGCCGCUGGCUUGGAGACCAGGAGUCUUCUGUCUUCCCGGGGACAGGGCUCGUGAAAUACACAUAGGGGCGCAUUAACUCAGGAUACCAAGGAUUCAGUAAAAUACGUCUGGAGGGAAUGAUUUCCAUCAUUAGAUAACAGUUCUAUUGAUUCAAGUUAUUCUUACCUGGAGCUCCACCUAAGUAUAGAAAAUGUGCCCAAAGCUGUCACAUCUUCAAGGUAUUUUUAUACCUUUAUAUAAUGAACAUCAUGAAAGAAGUCAUCCUACAGAUCUGCCUCUUGAAAUUGUUCACUGCUGAGAUUCCGAGGAAAGUUCCUAACAUUACU